GGGGGGGAGUUUGCCUAUUCUUAAAUGUGGAUCACAGAGGUGAUCACAACUUUAAGUGGCUUAGAGAAUUGUCCAUAUUCAAACUGGCCAGCUGAUAGGUUCUGUCAGUUCCCAGAGGAAACUGUAAGCACCCCUUAGCAAGGACGUCCCUUCCGGGACUAUGCUUGCUAACCUAUGACAAAUGUCCUAUUCCUUAUCAGAUGAGAUGUAGAUAUCAGAGUGUGGUGAUCAAGUCGUCAUGGUGCAAAUGUCUCCGUGAUAAGAUCCAAUCCCACCUAGGUGGAAUCCUCACUUAUUGUGAGAGAAUUUCUUUUAGUGUUGUGAAAUUUUUCUCUCAGCAAGGCUGGUGGAGGGAUUUUGAAACCCUGUCUCUACAUGGUCUGAUUACAUUCCAGUUUUAUACAUAAUAGCACGAAUUACAUACUUUAUUUAUAACACACCUCAUCUUUUUUUUUAUUUUUUCAGAGCAGGACUGAUCCUACCUGCUCCAUAUAUUCAGCAAAGUUGUCAGUUUUUUUCUAAAGAUGUUAGAAUUAACCCAAAAUGUCUACAAAUACCAAAAAAUCACACUGAAAGCUAGGCAGUAUUAAAACAAAAAGGCAAAAUGCUUUUCCAGACCUCUCUUAGGAGACGAUAUUGCUCUAUGGAAAGAAAAAAAAUACAUGGAAAAGUGAAAUACCAAAAAUUAUUUUUACAUCUAUGGACGUCUAUUGAAAAUACCUGACAAACCAGAGAUGUGCACUCAAAUAAAUAUAAAAGUGAUUACUUUCACAGAAAAUAAUGCCCAAGUGAGAUGACUCAGUCAAGCAAAGUGACUACUGAAAAAUUUUUCUGUGCUUAGACUAAAGAUAUUUUCUGUGAAAUAUAAUUCCUAGGGGAAAAAAAGAAAAAAACAUAGUUUUCUUGCUAAACCACAGUAACACAGUUUCCAUUUUAUAUCCAGCAGUCUUUAUAGAAAUAGUUUGCUGUAGAAUUGAUUAUUCUCUUUUAAUAAAUAUGUAAAAGCAAACUAAAGUCAAACUACAAACAGUCCUAUCUCCUACUUCAAGGAAAAUCAAUCUUACAAGUAAACCAUCUAUUUCUUUAUGAAUGAGAAAGCAUUUAGCUUUUAAUGGAAAGGAAAAAUCUAGCCAGAUAUUUCAAGUGUCAUGUUUUUUGUUUUAGUUGAUAUAACUUCUGUCUAGAGACAAAUUGCCCUUCUAAACCUGGAAAAAAAUACUACUUUUUUUCUUAGAUAAUAUUAGAAUUUGAUAAAACCCACCAGCAUUCUACAUAAGAAUUAAUCUAGAGCUUUAGUAGUAGAUAAUCCUUAAGCAUUUAAGAAAUACAAGCUAUAGAACUAAUUGUACGAAAACAUAAAAGGUAAUUUUAAAUUACUAUUCAAUAGAGUGCUGUCUACAAGAACAUUUAUACUGAUGUGUAACUUCCACACACCUGGUUCAGCUGUUGCAUUUCUUCCCACCAGAAAAUGGCAGGAAGUUAAACUGAAACUUAUGAUCACCACAGCUGCCAAAUCCCUGUCUGUUGUUUCAGUGGUUUAGCUACUGAAGUGCAGAAAUGUUUCAAACAAAUGAAAAUGAAAAUCCUGUUCUGAUAUUUGUUGUAUAUGCAGUUUCUAAAAGCAAAAUUAACUUUCAUGCUCCUUAAUAAAGCUAAAUAUUUUGUUAACACAUCAUACUUUCAUAGGUAAUUUCAAGAAAUUUAUGAAAUGAGAUACACAGAUGUAAAAAAGAUGUAAAAAAAAAUGCUUUUAAUAGCUAGAGAAAUAAACUUUGCUAUGAGAAUGAUUUUUUUGAGCUACUAUUUUUUAAAAUUCAUUUAACUGAAUUAAAAGUCAUUUCAGGUCACCAAACCCUGUUUAUGCUUGGCAACCCUAAAUUAUUAAUUGAAGCAGAAACAAAUAUUUCAUCACAAAUCCUUUUAAAGUAGCAAUGCCAUUGUAACUAAAUUUUUACAAUUGAUUUUCUCCUAAACAGUUUAGUUGAAUGACUGAAAUUAUAAUCCACAAUAUAUUUUCCUCUAUGCUUAAAGGCUGCCUUUACAGCAUUUUGAAAACUAUCAAACAAACCUAUAUGAGAUCUGCGUGAAAUGACUCAUUAGUUGAAAGUUCCUGGAAUGACCCAGAUAACUGGCUUUGUUUUCCAUAAAACAGUUCUAUCUCGACACUAUACAUUUAUCCUUAUGCACAAGCAUGACUGAAUUAUAACUGUAUGAUUUUUCUUUUCAAUGCUACAUUGUAAGGUAACAUUCCUAGAAUGCCUACAUUCAUUUUAAGUCAUGGCAGAACUUAUUUCACCGUCUUAAUUUCAUUUUGUAUGUAGAUGAAGUAGCACAGUACUACAGUCUAGGAAAAAAGAAAGUACAAAUAGGAAUAGGAAUGACUUUUAAAGCUGUUUAAUCCAUAAAUUGCCAUAGCUGUUUCUGAAGAAUUUGGCCAUUAGUGUACUUCCAGUCAUACUGGUUAAUACAAACUUCUUGUUGAGUUUUUAAACCUAUUCUUUAUUUCAUACAGAAUUUAACCUGCAUCACUUCUUGAAAAUUCAACUAAAACUAAAAGACAUUUUAAUAGUAUUGCUACCCAUGUAUUUGUAAACGAAUUUCACAGAAUUCUGUUAGCACUGCAAUUUCUAGAAAACAGCAAAAUGAUGGAUAAUGUAUUUGUAAAGCUUUCUGGAGCUCCCAUCGCUUUUUUGAAAAGGAGGUGGAAAGCCCAUUAUCUUGAAAGAAUGCUACGUAUUUCCUUUAUAGUUAUUUUUAAUUUUCCUCCUGAAUCUAACAGACAGUUUAAACAAUAUUCAUCAAUAUAUAUGGCCUAUUUUUUUAUCAACAUAACUUAAUUGGAGUGAUUUUUUUCUGGAUAUGUAUGCCUGACAACGUGCAGGUACUGAACUUCUAUCUUCCUCUCUCUUCCUCAUCCCCACAAGAAUGAUGUACCUUUCCUUCCCACAUUUCUCUUCUUGAAGAACUUUUUUGAAUAGACAGAAGUCUUGACAGUAAAAUUCCAUCCACAGGAACACCACGAGAGCACCACAAAUUAACUCAGCAAGAAAAAAAAGUUCUGUGGAUUUUGUAUCAUAGUCAAGUUGAGCUGAUUUUUUCCAAAUGAGGCACACUUUCCUGUAACUUGAUACCUGUGUGCUGUGAUAAAAGAGACACUGAAGAUUUCCAAAGCAGUGAUGCCAGCUGAAACAGACAAAAAUGUGCAAAUAAUUUAGCAAAGUGUUAAGUGCACCAUCUGAAGUUGUGUCAGAACCAUGAAAUCCCUGCAGCUAACACAGAAAGCAUUCCAAGUGCUAAUGACUAAACUCUUCAUACUUUCAAAGUCGGAGUUAUAUUUGGUUUGUUUCAGUUCCUUUUUUUCUCCUCUAAGUGGACUAUUUGCCAUUUUAUUUGGGCAUUUGCUUGAGGACUGUAAAAAUGAGAAGUCAUGAUGUAGGGUUUUUUGUAUUUCUAUAAUUUCUGCUUAGUGAGAUCAAGGAAAUAUCAUUUUACAGUACAGACAUUAACAAAUAGCUCAUGAGUGAUCUUAGGCCUCCACUGAUACGAAAGUAGUGUGACUUAACUGUGUUCUUUGAAUUAAUGCAUGGUGAACAGCAGAUUUUUUAAACAGUACAGAGAGCAAGGCAAGUUCAUACUGAACAAAUGUAUAACAAAACAACUGACUAAAAGUGUUUAGUAAAUAGAGGGAUUUUUCUAAUCUAAUUAUUAUCUAUUAAUAUUGUAUUUUAAUAAAAAGGAAACAUCUUUCUUGACAAUUUCUCGGGGAUUAUUUACUGCUUUUUAUUUUAAAACAAUGUGCAAUCUCAUAACAAUAUCCAACAGACACCUUUAAAAGACAAUGCACGCCAUAAGAAACAGCAGAUGAAUAAAGUAUUACUUUUUUUCCCCAUUUUCAGUUCAGUCCCCAGAAUCUAAUGGUCAACAGCAAGGGCGAUACUCCUAUUCUCACAUCUGAAUUCAUACUUAAGAUAAUUCUGACUACCUUCAGUUUAUUUUCUUUAUUCCAAUAUGUGAGAGGGAGGAAGAAUCUUCAGUCCACUUUAGACUUUUAGAGGGAUAAUCAGCAGCUUAGAAAAAACAGUCAAUGUAAUGCUUUUAAAAACCAAUUUGGCACAGAACCAUUGAAUCAUUAAGGUUAGAAAAGACCUUUAAGAUCAUUGAGUCCAACUGUUAACCCCGCAGUGCCAUCUUCACCAAUAAACCAUGCCCUUAAGUGCCACAUCUACAUGUUAUUUGAAUGUUUUCAGGUAUGGUGACUCUAGCACUUCCCUGGACAGCUUGUUCCAAUGCCUGACCACCCUUUCAGAGAAGUAAUUUUUCCUAAUAUCCAGUCUAACACACACACACAUCGAUGAAACUUGAAGCCUUUCCCUCUUGUCCUGUUGUUUGUUACUUGGAAGAAACCAAUCCCCAUUUACAACCUUCUUUCAGGCAGUUGUAGAGAGUGGUAAGGUCCCUCCUGAACUGUAUUCCUCCAGGCUAAACAACCCCAGCUCUCUCAACCACUUCUCAUCAGACUUGUGCUCCACUGCCCUUUUCUGGACCCACUGCAGAACCUCUCUUGUAGCGAGGGGCUCAAAACUAAACUCAGGAUUUGAGGUGUGGCCUCA
rnacentral:lncRNA from 13 species